rnacentral:rRNA from 1 species
GCCUACGGGGCGCAGCAGUGAGGAAUAUUGGUCAAUGGGCGGGAGCCUGAACCAGCCAAGCCGCGUGAGGGAAGAAGGUACAGCGUAUCGUAAACCUCUUUUGUCAGGGAACAAAGGCGGGGACUAGUCCCCGGAUGAGGGUACCUGAAGAAAAAGCAUCGGCUAACUCCGUGCCAGCAGCCGCGGUAAUACGGAGGAUGCGAGCGUUAUCCGGAUUUAUUGGGUUUAAAGGGUGCGUAGGCGGCAUUAUAAGUUAGUGGUAAAAUAUUGGGGCUUCACCUCACUACGCCAUUAAUACUGUAGAG